AUUUCUCCUACAUACCAAGGAACAAGUGCAGAGGUAAGAACUGCAAUCAUAAUUUCAUAAUUUAAUUCUUACAACCUUCAGCAACUCCCAAGCUCUCUCUCUCUAAAAAAAAAAAACGCCACUGCCCAUGUAAGUUUGGAACUUUGAAAUUCUUUCAUUUCUUCCUUGUCUCUCUUGCAAAUUUUGAAUAAAGCAACAUCUGAAAUUCUUGUACAACUCCAUUCACAGAAGCUUAGUAAACAACAACAAAUACAACAACAAACACCAGCCGAAACCUCACCAAAAGGCUUUGAGCAUCAGGAGGAUUAGCACUGCUAUUCCGAUUCAGAGAUAACGUUAAACGACAGGCUUUGCCUAGACAGGUUAAUGGCUGGUGAUGACGGGGCAGAGCUGAGGCUAGAGUUCAACUCCUUAUUUUAAUUUCCGCUGCAGAACUAGCC